UCAAGCAAUGUGACCUGUGAUGGGAUGGGU
rnacentral:piRNA from 1 species